rnacentral:rRNA from 1 species
UACGUAGGGUGCGAGCGUUAAUCGGAAUUACUGGGCGUAAAGCGUGCGCAGGCGGUUUUGUAAGACAGAUGUGAAAUCCCCGGGCUUAACCUGGGACCUGCAUUUGUGACUGCAAGGCUAGAGUACGGUAGAGGGGGAUGGAAUUCCGCGUGUAGCAGUGAAAUGCGUAGAUAUGCGGAGGAAUACCGAUGGCGAAGGCAGCCCCCUGGGUCGACACUGACGCUCAUGCACGAAAGCGUGGGGAGCAAACAGG